rnacentral:rRNA from 1 species
CCCGCUGAAUUUAAGCAUAUUAAUAAGCGGAGGAAAAGAAACUAACAAGGAUUCCCCUAGUAAUGGCGAAUGAAGCGGGAACAGCUCAAAUUUAAAAUCUCCGUUGCUUGCAACGGCGAAUUGUAGUUUCGAGAAGCACUUUCUCGGCGGAUCCGAGGUCGUCCAAGUUGCUUGGAACAGCACGUCGUAGAGGGUGACAACCCCGUCUGCGGCGAUCUCGGCCGUUCACGAUGUGCUUUCGACGAGUCGGGUUGUUUGGGAAUGCAGCCCAAAAUGGGUGGUAAACUCCAUCUAAAGCUAAAUAUUGGCACGAGACCGAUAGCGAACAAGUACCGUGAGG